rnacentral:piRNA from 1 species
AUAUACACUAUGUAUAUACCUCCUGCGGCC